rnacentral:rRNA from 1 species
UACGUAGGCAGCAAGCGUUGUUCGGAGUUACUGGGCGUAAAGAGUGCGUAGGCGGUCCGGCAAGUUCGGUGUGAAAUCUCCCGGCUUAACUGGGAGGGUGCGCCGAAGACUGUUGGGCUGGAGUGUGGGAGAGGCAGGCGGAAUUCCUGGUGUAGCGGUGAAAUGCGUAGAUAUCAGGAGGAACACCAGUGGCGAAGGCGACUACCUGGCCUGUUCUUGACGCUGAGGCGCGAAAGCUAGGGUAGCAAACGGG